ACCCGCAGUCACACGCUCCCUCACGAACUCUCCGUCUCUGUUGUUUCCGACGCCAGCCCACGAUCUUCAACACCUCACACCGCCAUCACCAUUAAGAGCAGUAAAGAGAGAUGAACAAAACUCGGUUCUCACCACUAGACCUCGGCCACCGACAGACGCCGUUUCACAUGCCUCACAGAUCUGUUCUCUGCCCUGCCCAUAUGCUUUCUUCUCGGAAGUGCUCAUUCCAUUGAUAUCAAAGACCAUGAGAAUUAAAAGCUUCUACACGGCGUCCAUGUCAUCUUGGUCUUCUUCUCUCCAAUUGUAAUGAGAGAUUUUGACUACUACGGUGCACUGACUUCCCUUCUGUGGCUUCAAGCUCGAUCAACAAAUAUAGCAAAAAGAUUGGCCUCGUUGAUUUGGAGUAUAAAUUUGUGGUAGUCCUGAGAGUUUGUGCGCAGGAAACCUGGAGGUCAGCUGAUGUUUUUCCAAGUAGACUUGCUCUGCUCUUGGCUGCAGAGAAUUGUCCCUUAUCUUUUCUCUAUUCCAUUCCUGUCUGCAUUUUAGUCCGGAAUCAAAACUUUGGUCCAGUCAUGCCUCUUGAGACUUACCGGAAUCCCAAGAAGAGGGACAGCGACGAGGUCGAGAUCAAGAUCGGCACGGCGCCGUUUUGGCAUAGGUUCCUCUUUAUUUUCUCCAAGAAAGACAAUUUUAUGGAGGGAACUUGUUUCAUAUAAUUGGAGUAAAUUCAUCAAUAUAUGGUUGAGAUUUUUUGUUUCCGGUAUUAAUUUCUGAUAGAAAGGAGAUUAUUUAGUUAUUUUUGGGUACAAUAUUGAUUGGGUUGUGAAUUCAUUGUAUGUUACUGUUUGGAUUCUGAUUAAUGGAAUUGUAUAUUUAA
rnacentral:lncRNA from 1 species